GUGAACGCUGGCGGUAGGCCUAACACAUGCAAGUCGAACGGCAGCACAGUAAGAGCUUGCUCUUACGGGUGGCGAGUGGCGGACGGGUGAGGAAUACAUCGGAAUCUACUUUUUCGUGGGGGAUAACGUAGGGAAACUUACGCUAAUACCGCAUACGACCUACGGGUGAAAGCAGGGGAUCUUCGGACCUUGCGCGAUUGAAUGAGCCGAUGUCGGAUUAGCUAGUUGGCGGGGUAAAGGCCCACCAAGGCGACGAUCCGUAGCUGGUCUGAGAGGAUGAUCAGCCACACUGGAACUGAGACACGGUCCAGACUCCUACGGGAGGCAGCAGUGGGGAAUAUUGGACAAUGGGCGCAAGCCUGAUCCAGCCAUACCGCGUGGGUGAAGACGGCCUUCGGGUUGUAAAGCCCUUUUGUUGGGAAAGAAAAGCAGCAGGUUAAUACCCCGCUGUUCUGACGGUACCCAAAGAAUAAGCACCGGCUAACUUCGUG
rnacentral:rRNA from 1 species